GUUGGGCGUGGUGGUGCACACCUGUAAUCCCAGCAACACAGGAGGCUUAGGCAGGAGGAUUUCGAGUUUGAAGUCAACCUCAGUGAGGGCGAGGCACUAAACAACUCAGUGAGACCCUGUCUCUA
rnacentral:sRNA from 1 species